AACGAACGCUGGCGGCAUGCCUAACACAUGCAAGUCGAACGAGACCUUCGGGUCUAGUGGCGCACGGGUGCGUAACGCGUGGGAACCUGCCCUUAGGUUCGGAAUAACUCCCCGAAAGGGGUGCUAAUACCCGAUAAUGUCUUCGGACCAAAGAUUUAUCGCCUUUGGAUGGGCCCGCGUUGGAUUAGCUAGUUGGUAGGGUAAAAGCCUACCAAGCCGACGAUCCAUAGCUGGUCUGAGAGGAUGAUCAGCCACACUGGGACUGAGACACAGCCCAGACUCCUACGGGAGGCAGCAGUGGGGAAUAUUGGACAAUGGGCGAAAGCCUGAUCCAGCAAUGCCGCGUGAGUGAUGAAGGCCUUAGGGUUGUAAAGCUCUUUUACCCGGGAUGAUAAUGACAGUACCGGGAGAAUAAGCUCCGGCUAACUCCGUG
rnacentral:rRNA from 1 species